GAACGCACCUUGCGCCCUUUGGCCAUUCCGAAGGGCAUGCCUGUUUGAGUAUCAUGAACACCUCAACUCUCAUGGCUUGCCAUGAUGAGCUUGGACUUUGGGGGUCUUGUCGGCCUGCGGUCGGCUCCUCUCAAAUGGAUCAGCUUGCCAGUGUUUGGUGGCGUCACAGGUGUGAUAACUAUCUGCGCUUGUGGUUUCCCAUCAGAUAACCUUCAGCGAUGGAGGUUCACUGGAGCUUACAAAUGUCUCUCCUCUGUGAGGACAGCCCUUUGAAUGUUUGAUCUCAAAUCAGGUAGGACUACCCGCUGAACUUAAG
rnacentral:misc_RNA from 1 species